CAUGCGCGCCUUUGCCCUGCGCGCGCACUCACAAACGUGCAUUUUCCGACUUUCCCACAGAGUCUCGUCUCUGCACACAGACUUCAUCGACCAACACAGGCCGUGGCACCAGGAAAAGAGGUUAACUACUCACUCACAGAUUUCAAAUCACACGCGGCACCGUUACGGCUUUCUUUGCACAGGUGCUGUCGUACUAAAUUUGUCGAUCACCGGAGAGAGACCUAAAGGCGGCGUUCAACCAUGUACAGUGACGGUGAGCGCAAGACCGUAUCGGAGCUUCAGCGGGAGGCCGAGGCGACGCGCAAGGAGAUUAUCGAGGAGGCGCAGCGGCUGGAGAGGAUUAAGAAGGCCACCGCCAAGACGCAGUUCUCCAUCGACCAGCUCUUUCGCUUCUUUGCGCGUGAGGUGGAGACCGAGAAGGAGAAGAAGAUGCUGAUCGACCUCCUCGUCUCGAAUCCGCCAGACCUGCACAUCGAGUGUGUGCCGGUGCUGCCGGUCGUCAUCGCCAUCGCAAAUGGCCGCAUGACCAACGCGCGCCGCAUCUACACCACGGACAACGCCUUCCUGGACGACUCGGCCUUCAUAUUCCUCGUCCACACACUGCGCUUCUUGCCUCAGGCUUGCAAAAUCGACUUCCUCGACAUUAGCGGGACGGGUGUGACGGAGCGUGGCAUGUGCUUUGUGCUGGAGAUGAUGAUUGAGCGCAACACCCCGUUCACCCUAGUAGCGAAGCGCCUGUCGAUCCCGUCGGCGGAGGCAGAGGCAGUGCGGGCCCGCUAUACGUCCCUCAUGAGCGCGUUGCGGGACAAGAAGUGCUGCCGCUUUAUUCAGGAGUAAAUCGAAGCUUGCGACAUGCGUGCGCGCUUGUGUGGCGAAGCGAGACAGCUAAGCGUUGAUGCGGUGUGGACGUGUGGAUGCUGGCGACUUGGCGUAGGUGUGAUGAUGUCCUGCCUCUGCUUUCUCUUUUUCCUCUCUCUCCUCUUGCUUUAG
rnacentral:misc_RNA from 1 species